CCCUUAGAUGUUCGGGGCCGCACGCGCGCUACACUGAAGGAAUCAGCACGUCUUUCUCCUUGUCCGAAAGGACUGGGUAACCCGCUGAACCUCCUUCGUGCUAGGGAUUGGGACUUGUAAUUCUUCCCCAUGAACGAGGAAUUCCCAGUAAGCGCGAGUCAUAAGCUCGCGUUGAUUACGUCCCUGCCCUUUGUACACACCGCCCGUCGCUACUACCGAUUGGAUGGUUUAGUGAGAUCCUCGGAUUGGUCCCGGAGCGGCCUCUGGUCGUGCCGGAGUGCCGAAAAGAAUGUCGAACUUGAUCAUCUAGAGGAAGUAAAAGUCGUAACA
rnacentral:rRNA from 1 species